rnacentral:rRNA from 1 species
GAUGAACGCUGGCGGCGUGCCUAAUACAUGCAAGUCGAGCGAACGGACGAGAAGCUUGCUUCUCUGAUGUUAGCGGCGGACGGGUGAGUAACACGUGGAUAACCUACCUAUAAGACUGGGAUAACUUCGGGAAACCGGAGCUAAUACCGGAUAAUAUUUUGAACCGCAUGGUUCAAAAGUGAAAGACGGUCUUGCUGUCACUUAUAGAUGGAUCCGCGCUGCAUUAGCUAGUUGGUAAGGUAACGGCUUACCAAGGCAACGAUGCAUAGCCGACCUGAGAGGGUGAUCGGCCACACUGGAACUGAGACACGGUCCAGACUCCUACGGGAGGCAGCAGUAGGGAAUCUUCCGCAAUGGGCGAAAGCCUGACGGAGCAACGCCGGGUGAGUGAUGAAGGUCUUCGGAUCGUAAAACUCUGUUAUUAGGGAAGAACAUAUGUGUAAGUAACUGUGCACAUCUUGACGGUACCUAAUCAGAAAGCCACGGCUAACUGCGU